rnacentral:misc_RNA from 1 species
AACCUUAUGGACCUGCGGGCGUAUACCUGCGGAGGGAUCAUUACAGAGUUGCAAGACUCCCUAAACCAUUGUGAACCUACCUUCUACCGUUGCUUCGGCGGGCGGGCCCAGCGCCCCCCCCGGCCCCCCGCGGGCGCCCGCCGGAGGAUACCCAAACUCUUGACAUUAGUGGCCUCUCUGAGUAUUCUUUACUGAAUAAGUCAAAACUUUCAACAACGGAUCUCAGAUCGGAAGAGCACA